GUUUGGCCCGAACUCUUGUGCGACCACCCGAACGGCCACCAAUCCGCGAUCCGUCUAUUCGGGAGUUUAUUCCCCGUUACCACGAUGCUCCAGAUCCAUUUUCAUGAUUUUUGGGCGUCUAUCCCGCGUGCUGCGGCUAUCUGUACCAAAACAGACCGUUUCGUCAAUAACUUCGGGUACACUCGUCGGAUUGUCGAACCGAGCGCACCAACGCGUUCGUUAUACCCCCAAUUAGGUUUCUACAAGGUCAAUUUACCUCGAAAACACCCGGAGGCAAAAUUUCCAAAUUUGGUGCCCUAACAAUGCCAUAAUGAGAUUUCUUGGGAUUGAUCUUGUUGCUAAGCAUAAUUAAGCUUAGAACCACCCAAGAAGCUCUCUAAUAUCAUCUCCAACCUAAUUGGACCAACCCUAAGGUAUCUAACACAAACCCUAGGUGAUCACCAUGAGAGCACCCUAAGCUUCCAUAGAUUUUCAUGGAGCUCAAGCCUCUAGAGAGGUUCCAGUCUUACAAGAAGUCCAAAACACUAAAUCUUAGGAUAUAAAUCUAAACCCUAGAAGUAUUCUUGCGAAAUAACUCACCUUAGCCUAAGCUCUUCCAAGUCCACCAUGAAGGAGAGCUUCUUGAUCCUCCAAAACCCUCAAAAUCCACCUUCAAG
rnacentral:lncRNA from 1 species